GAUGAACGCUGGCGGCGUGCCUAAUACAUGCAAGUCGAGCGAACAGACGAGGAGUUUGCUCCUCUGACGUUAGCGGCGGACGGGUGAGUAACACGUGGAUAAUCUCCCUAUAAGACUGGGAUAACUUCGGGAAACCGGCGAUAAUACCGGAUUAUAUAUUGUACCGCAUGGAUUAUUAGUGAAAGACGGUUUUGCUGUUACCUAUUGAUGGAUCCGCGCCGUAUUUGGUAGUUGGUAAGGCAACGGCUUAACCAGGCCAAGAUACGGAGCCGUCCCGGGAGGGGGGUCGGGCCACACUGGAACGAAAAAACGGCCCGGACUCCUAGGGGGGGAAGCGUAGGGGAAUCUUGCGCAUUGAGCGAAGUCCUGACGGGGCAACGCCGCGGAGGUGAUGAAGGUCUUGGGAUCGUAAGACUCGGUGAUUGGGGAGAAAGAGAGGGGUAAUUGACUGUGCACGUCGUGACGGUACCUAAUCAGAAAGCCACGGCUAACUACGUG
rnacentral:rRNA from 1 species